GGGGUGGUGGCUCGGUGGUAGAGCACUCACCUGGGACGCGAGAGGCCCUGGGUUUGAUCCUCAGCACCCCA
rnacentral:tRNA from 1 species